UUAAUUGAAACCAAAUUAGAGGUAUAUUAUUGUUAAUAAUAAAAAUGAAGUUAUUCCAAUUAAA
rnacentral:tRNA from 1 species